rnacentral:rRNA from 1 species
UACGUAGGCAGCAAGCGUUGUUCGGAGUUACUGGGCGUAAAGGGUGUGUAGGCGGUUCUUUAAGUUUGGGGUGAAAUCUCCCGGCUCAACCGGGAGGGUGCGCCGAAUACUGAGGGACUAGAGUGUGGGAGAGGAAAGUGGAAUUCCUGGUGUAGCGGUGAGAUGCGUAGAUAUCAGGGGGAACACCGGUGGUGUAGACGGCUUUCUGGACCAUAACUGACGCUGAGACACGAAAGCGUGGGUAGCAAACAGG